GACGAACGCUGGCGGCGUGCUUAACACAUGCAAGUCGAACGAUGAAGCCUAGCUUGCUAGGUGGAUUAGUGGCGAACGGGUGAGUAAUACGUGAGUGACCUACCUUUGACUCUGGGAUAAGCCUGGGAAACUGGGUCUAAUACCGGAUACGACCAAUCUCCGCAUGGGGUGUUGGUGGAAAGCGUUAUGGAGUGGUUUUAGAUGGGCUCACGGCCUAUCAGCUUGUUGGUGAGGUAAUGGCUUACCAAGGCGACGACGGGUAGCCGGCCUGAGAGGGUGACCGGCCACACUGGGACUGAGACACGGCCCAGACUCCUACGGGAGGCAGCAGUGGGGAAUAUUGCACAAUGGGCGCAAGCCUGAUGCAGCGACGCCGCGUGAGGGAUGACGGCCUUCGGGUUGUAAACCUCUGUUAGCAUCGAAGAAGCGAAAGUGACGGUAGGUGCAGAGAAAGCGCCGGCUAACUACGUGCCAGCAGCCGCGGUAAUACGUAGGGCGCGAGCGUUGUCCGGAAUUAUUGGGCGUAAAGAGCUUGUAGGCGGUUGGUCGCGUCUGCUGUGAAGGCUGGGGCUUAACCCUGGUUUUGCAGUGGGUACGGGCUAACUAGAGUGCAGUAGGGGAGACUGGAAUUCCUGGUGUAGCGGUGGAAUGCGCAGAUAUCAGGAGGAACACCGAUGGCGAAGGCAGGUCUCUGGGCUGUAACUGACGCUGAGAAGCGAAAGCAUGGGGAGCGAACAGGAUUAGAUACCCUGGUAGUCCAUGCCGUAAACGUUGGGCACUAGGUGUGGGGGACAUUCCACGUUUUCCGCGCCGUAGCUAACGCAUUAAGUGCCCCGCCUGGGGAGUACGGCCGCAAGGCUAAAACUCAAAGAAAUUGACAGGGGCCCGCACAAGCGGCGGAGCAUGCGGAUUAAUUCGAUGCAACGCGAAGAACCUUACCAAGGCUUGACAUAUACUGGACUGCGUCAGAGAUGGCGUUUCCCUUCGGGGCUGGUAUACAGGUGGUGCAUGGUUGUCGUCAGCUCGUGUCGUGAGAUGUUGGGUUAAGUCCCGCAACGAGCGCAACCCUCGUUCUAUGUUGCCAGCACGUGAUGGUGGGGACUCAUAGGAGACUGCCGGGGUCAACUCGGAGGAAGGUGGGGAUGACGUCAAAUCAUCAUGCCCCUUAUGUCUUGGGCUUCACGCAUGCUACAAUGGCCGGUACAGAGGGUUGCGAUACUGUGAGGUGGAGCUAAUCCCUAAAAGCCGGUCUCAGUUCGGAUUGGGGUCUGCAACUCGACCCCAUGAAGUCGGAGUCGCUAGUAAUCGCAGAUCAGCAACGCUGCGGUGAAUACGUUCCCGGGCCU
rnacentral:rRNA from 1 species